rnacentral:rRNA from 1 species
UACGAAGGGGGCUAGCGUUGCUCGGAAUCACUGGGCGUAAAGCGCACGUAGGCGGAUCUCUAAGUCAGGGGUGAAAUCCUGGAGCUCAACUCCAGAACUGCCUUUGAUACUGAGAAGCUUGAGUCCGGGAGAGGUGAGUGGAACUGCGAGUGUAGAGGUGAAAUUCGUAGAUAUUCGCAAGAACACCAGUGGCGAAGGCGGCUCACUGGCCCGGUACUGACGCUGAGGUGCGAAAGCGUGGGUAGCAAACAGG